rnacentral:rRNA from 1 species
UACGUAGGGUGCAAGCGUUGUCCGGAAUUAUUGGGCGUAAAGAGCUCGUAGGCGGUUCGUCGCGUCGGCUGUGAAAUCCCGAGGCUCAACCUCGGGUCUGCAGUCGAUACGGGCGGACUGGAGUUCGGCAGGGGAGACUGGAAUUCCUGGUGUAGCGGUGAAAUGCGCAGAUAUCAGGAGGAACACCGGUGGCGAAGGCGGGUCUCUGGGCCGAUACUGACGCUGAGGAGCGAAAGCGUGGGGAGCGAACGGG